AGCAGCCGCGGUAAUUCCAGCUCCAAUAGCGUAUAUUAAAGUUGUUGCAGUUAAAAAGCUCGUAGUUGAAUUUCGGGAUCAAUACGUCGGUCGUGCUUCGGUACGUACUGGCGUAAUUGAUUUCUCCCUUCUGACGAACCAUGAUGUCAUUAACUUGGUGUCAUGGGAAAUCAGGACUGUUACUUUGAAAAAAUUAGAGUGUUUAAAGCAGGCUCACGCUUGAAUACAUUAGCAUGGAAUAAUGAAAUAGGACGUUCGAUCCUAUUUUGUUGGUUUCUAGGAUUGACGUAAUGAUUAAUAGGGAUAGUUGGGGGCAUUAGUAUUCAAUUGUCAGAGGUGAAAUUCUUGGAUUUAUUGAAGACUAACUACUGCGAAAGCAUUUGCCAAGGAUGUUUUCUAUUAAU
rnacentral:rRNA from 1 species